UCACAAUUUUGUUUUAAAAUAUUAUCAUAAAAAUGCUGAGUUAUCCACGUUUAGCGCAGUUCUCUCCUCUACUUUGAAAAGAGUAAUUCUGUUUUUCUCCUCGUAGGGGGGAAAAUAUUCACAUCUGGAUUAUCCAAAGUCAUGGAUUCAACUAUCCUAGCUGUAACCAGGAAACACAGACUGGACACUUCUUCUUUGUCUACUUGUCAUCGUGCCAUACCACACCUUGGAGACACUGUUACAGCUGAGUUCCCCAUGACAUGAUGUUUAUUUGUGUUUCCCACAUAGAGUUGUUCAUUUCUGGAAAAAUUAACACAUUCAUAAAAGUUGUGAGCUGUAAAGACUUGAAUGACCAGAAUGUUAAGUAUUAUUUGAGGGACAUUCUACUACAAAAACACCAAGUGAGUCAUCAUCAGAAGGCCAAGAUUCUAAGAUGA
rnacentral:lncRNA from 12 species